AACUGACGGUAUGAAUGGGUAUGACAACAAGGAAGUGUGUAAUCUCUGCCUUAGCUACACAUACAGAAGGGUGGCCUGUGGGUGGCCAGGGACUCUUAUUUUGUGGCAUACUGCACAAACAUGGUGCAACUCUGAAUGGAGGGACAGUGCCAGGCCACUCCAGGCACUAUAACCAAUUCAAAGAGACAAAGUGGUUAUAGUGACUACAGUGUCCCUUUAAGGGUACACAUGACAUAGGAAAUUCUCUGACGUGUUGCUACAUUAACCUAGGACAAAAUGUCAUCCUUAAGUCUGAACACCAUAUUAACUGAAUAUGGGUAAGAG